rnacentral:misc_RNA from 1 species
UCAAACUUGGUCAUUUAGAGGAAGUAAAAGUCGUAACAAGGUUUCCGUAGGUGAACCUGCGGAAGGAUCAUUAAAGAUUUAGUAAUCCUACUCACCUCGUGUGCAGCUUUACAAAGUCUGAUAUCCUUGGAGAGAUCAAUUUUUUGCUUGAACCCUCUCCAAGGAGGUUAUCACCAUCAAUGUAUCUUUUCUUUACUCUUUUAUGUCUAAAUCAAUAAAUUUAAAUUGAAACAACUUUCAACAACGGAUCUCUUGGCUCUCGCAUCGAUGAAGAACGCAGC